rnacentral:rRNA from 1 species
CCCUUAGAUGUUCUGGGCUGCACGCGCGCUACACUGAUGCACUCAACGAGUUUACGACCUUGCCCGAUAGGGUUGGGUAAUCUUUUUAAAAUGCAUCGUGAUGGGGAUAGAUUAUUGCAAUUAUUAAUCUUCAACGAGGAAUUCCUAGUAAGCGCGAGUCAUCAGCUCGUGCUGAUUACGUCCCUGCCCUUUGUACACACCGCCCGUCGCUCCUACCGAUUGAGUGCUCAGGUGAAUAAUUCGGACUGCAGCAAUGUUUGGAUCCCGGACGUUGCAGCGGAAAGUUUAGUGAACCUUAUCACUUAGAGGAAGGAGAAGUCGUAACA